rnacentral:lncRNA from 1 species
GUUUAUGGCAUGAACCCAGCAUAUAGUAAUUAAAUUUUCAGCAAGUUUUGUUUGUUUUGAGACUGGAGUGCAAUGGCAUGACCUUAACUCACUACAGUCCUGACUUCCUUGGGCUCAAGCAAUCCUCCCACCCAAGCCUCCUGAGUAGCUAGGAUUACAGGCAUGCACCACCAUGCCCAACUAAUUUUUUUUUCUUUUUUGUAGAGAUGCGGUCUCAGUAUGUUGUCCAGGCUGAUCUCAGAUCCUUGGCCUCAAAGGAUCCUCCUGUCUGGGUCUCUCAAACUGCUGGGAAUACAAGCAUGAGCCACCACAGCUGACGAACAGCUAUUUUUGAAUAAAGUAAAGGAAGAGAGGGAGGGAGAGAAGAAGGAAGAAGAAAAAAAAGAAAAGAAGUGAAGGAGGGUUAACUACAGCCAAAGAAAAAGAAGCAGCCCAACAGAGAGCUCAGGAAAAUUACACUUCAUACAUCCAACUGCUAUGGAAGAGGAUGGAGGUGAGAAGCGGAGGGAGAAAGAAGGAUGUGAUAUUCCAUCCCCAUUAAGAAAAUUUUUCAAGCCCCCAAUCUGAACCUACUGAAUCAGAAUUUGAGGAGAUGAGACCUGUAUACCUAGAUUUUCAAAAGACUCUCAACUCUAUCCACUCUCAUCACUUCUAUUUAACAUUAUACUGGAGGUCCUGGCCAGGGAAGUAAGGCAAGUAAAAAAAAAUUC